GAACUGUAUACCAAAGAGAAACAGAGCCUGUAAAGCAAAUAAGAACCAAACCCAAAAUGGCAAGACACACAUAGAAACAGUAAGCGGAGGACUGGAUAGAAUGAAUAGAAGCAAACCACAAUCUUGGAGGAUCCACAAUAUACGAAGCAUGGAACCAGUACUUCGUAGCAAACCAUGGAGGCGCACCAGUGAAACAACCACAGGCUCUCCAAGAAAACCAACAUAAACCCCCA
rnacentral:lncRNA from 1 species